rnacentral:rRNA from 1 species
GACGAACGCUGGCGGCGUGCUUAACACAUGCAAGUCGAGCGGUAAGGCCCUUUCGGGGGUACACGAGCGGCGAACGGGUGAGUAACACGUGGGUGACCUGCCCUCAGCUCUGGGAUAAGCCUGGGAAACCGGGUCUAAUACCGGAUAUGACUCCAUGACGCAUGUUGUGGGGUGGAAAGCCUUGUGCGGCUGAGGAUGGGCCCGCGGCCUAUCAGCUUGUUGGUGGGGUGAUGGCCUACCAAGGCGACGACGGGUAGCCGGCCUGAGAGGGCGACCGGCCACACUGGGACUGAGACACGGCCCAGACUCCUACGGGAGGCAGCAGUGGGGAGUAUUGGACAAUGGGCGCAAGCCUGAUCCAGCGAUGCCGCGUGUGUGAAGAAGGCCUGCGGGUUGUAAAGCACUUUCAGUAGGGAAGAAAAGCCGAGUGCUAAUAUCAUUUCGGUCUUGACGUUACUUACAGAAGAAGCACCGGCUAACUCCGUGCCAGCAGCCGCGGUAA